rnacentral:rRNA from 1 species
GAUAAUAGCCUAAGUACUUUAUAGGCACCAAAUCUCUGCUGAUCUUGGCACUAAAUAUGGACAUCCCUGGUUAGUACUUGGAUGGGAGAACAUUAAUGAAUACUAGGUGCUGUAGGCU